CCUACGGGUUGCAGCAGUGGGGAAUAUUGCACAAUGGGCGCAAGCCUGAUGCAGCCAUACCGCGUGUAUGAAGAAGGCCUUCGGGUUGUAAAGUACUUUCAGCGGGGAAGAAGGUGUUGUGGUUAAUAACCACAGCAAUUGACGUUACCCGCAGAAGAAGCACCGGCUAACUCCGUGCCAGCAGCCGCGGUAAUACGGAGGGUGCAAGCGUUAAUCGGAAUUACUGGGCGUAAAGCGCACGCAGGCGGUCUGUUAAGUCAGAUGUGAAAUCCCCGGGCUCAACCUGGGAACUGCAUCUGAUACUGGCAAGCUUGAGUCUCGUAGAGGGGGGUAGAAUUCCAGGUGUAGCGGUGAAAUGCGUAGAGAUCUGGAGGAAUACCGGUGGCGAAGGCGGCCCCCUGGACGAAGACUGACGCUCAGGUGCGAAAGCGUGGGGAGCAAACAGGAUUAGAUACCCCCGUAGUC
rnacentral:rRNA from 1 species